rnacentral:tRNA from 1 species
CAGAGAAUAGUUUAAUAUAGAAUGCCAGCUUUGGGGGCUGGAGAUGAGGGUUAAAGUCCUUUUUCUCUGA